rnacentral:rRNA from 1 species
UACGUAGGGGGCGAACGUUGCUCGGAAUUACUGGGCGUAAAGGGUGCGUAGGUGGCUGGGCAAGUCGUAGAUGAAAUCCCCGGGCUUAACUCGGGAACUGUCUCCGAAACUGCUCAGCUUGAGGAUGGUUGAGGAAAGCGGAAUUCCCGGUGGAGCGGUGAAAUGCGUAGAUAUCGGGAGGAACACCAGAGGCGAAGGCGGCUUUCUGGGCCAUUCCUGACACUCAUGCACGAAAGCUAGGGGAGCGAACGGGAUUAGAUACCCCCGUA